rnacentral:lncRNA from 1 species
CCUGGCCUAGGCUGGGCUUCCUGUUAACAGGAUGCAGGUUCACACCACAGGUUCACAUUGCAGCUGGCUCCACCCCUGACCCAAAGGGACAUAGAUUCCUCUUUGGUGGGCACUCUGGAACUCCUUGGACUCAUUUGCAAGGUGAGACUGAUCAUACAUGAUGUAAGCAAUUAAGGAUACCUCAGCUUUUGUUCCUGCUACUGCAAUGGCCAGAGAGGAGGCAACUUAGGUACAGAGUGACCGAUACUGAUCUUUGGGACAAGCAGUCAACCCUUGACUGGGAGUCAAGAUACCUUUCACUUGAGACUGAUCUCUGAGUCCUUCUUUGCUAUUGCCACAGGAUUGCAGGGAGUCCAGUGAGAUUGUGUGCAUAUAAAUAGCUUGGCAAGCUAAAACAUGUCUGAGCAUGAAGACCACAAGUGUGAGACUGUAAGUGCUUCUGCUACCUAAGGGCUGGAGGAGGGCAGCACAAAGGGUUAGUGUAUCAGUUCUUUGAGUAAUUUGGUGCUGUCUUGGGUUAGGCUGAACUAUGCUUUCUGUCAACAUUUUUCUGAAAUGAUCACUCCUUUUUUCACUCUAGCAUGAUAUUCCUGGCACCUUCUUCUUCAUGCCUAUUCCUAACUCUAUGCCAACCUAGAUCAUAGACAGUUCCUGGUAUGUGACUUCAAAUAAAACAUCGAAUUCUUCUGACACCCAGAGGAUGUUACCAAAGCUCUCUGUGCUUUGGGAUGCAAGCUAGAUCCCCCAAGAGGACAAUGAAGAUUAAUUAUCGCACUUGGAAUGAGGAGUGGAGAGGCUGAUUCGAGAGAGAAGAACCCUGCUGAAACCAACUCUCAUCUGUAAAUCUAGGAGAGUAAACUUCAUGAGCCCUGAGAGCAUGUUCAAAAGUAUACUGUCUUCAUUAAUGCAAAC